GGAAGCACUGUGGCCUAUUGUAAGAGCAACCGCCUUGCAUGCAGAAGAUCCCAGGUUCAAUCCCUGGCAUCUCCA